rnacentral:rRNA from 1 species
GACGAACGCUGGCGGCGUGCUUAACACAUGCAAGUCGAACGGAAAGGCCCUGCUUUUGUGGGGUGCUCGAGUGGCGAACGGGUGAGUAACCCGUGAGUAACCUGCCCUUGACUUUGGGAUAACUUCAGGAAACUGGGGCUAAUACCGGAUAGGUGCUCCUGCUGCAUGGUGGGGGUUGGAACGUUUCGGCGGAUGGGGAUGGACUCGCGGCUUAUCAGCUUGUUGGGGGGGUAGUGGCUUACCAAGGCUUUGACGGGUAGCCGGCCUGAGAGGGUGACCGGCCACAUUGGGACUGAGAUACGGCCCAGACUCCUACGGGAGGCAGCAGUGGGGAAUAUUGCACAAUGGGCGGAAGCCUGAUGCAGCAACGCCGCGUGCGGGAUGACGGCCUUCGGGGUGUAAACCGCUUUCGCCUGUGACGAAGCGGGAGUGACGGUAAUGGGUAAAGAAGCACCGGCUAACUACGUG